CUUGGACUUCCCAGCCUCUGGAAUUUUCAUAGUCAUAACGUUCCAAGAAAACUUGUGGCACAAAGUGGAAUGAGCAGUAUGACAGGGACAUCACCUGAAUCUGCAUUACCUGUGCUUUUCUUCCUUGAUUUACCAGAUAAGUGGCUGGAAAACAUCCAUAUUAUGAUAAUAUUGGUUGAAUGAACAAACUAUCCAGUACUGCUGUGAGCACAUCUCUUUCCAUGAAAUAAGGAAAUGGCACUGAAAUCAACUAUUAGACAAUGGAUCCAGGAAUAAACAGGAAUGAUGUUCCAUGAAGCUGCAACAGAGAGGAAAGCCAGGAGCAGAGGAUGACCACACUGCAGUGUGAUGAGGACUGUAAGCACCAACUGCA